rnacentral:rRNA from 1 species
GACGAACGCUGGCGGCGUGCUUAACACAUGCAAGUCGAACGGAAAGGCCUGCUUUCCCUUGUGGAUUGCGGGUGCUCGAGUGGCGAACGGGUGAGUAACACGUGAGUGAUCUGCCCCCAACUUGGGUAUAAGCCUGGGAAACUGGGUCUAAUUCCCGAUAGGACUGCAGGGUGGUGCCUGUGGUGGAAAACGAUUUUCUAGUGGUUGGGGAUGAGCUCGCGGCCUAUCAGCUUGUUGGUGGGGUAAUGGCCUACCAAGGCGGCGACGGGUAGCCGGCCUGAGAGGGUGGACGGCCACAUUGGGACUGAGAUACGGCCCAGACUCCUACGGGAGGCAGCAGUGGGGAAUAGUGCACAAUGGGCGGAAGCCUGAUGCAGCGACGCCGCGUGGGGGAUGACGGCCUUCGGGUUGUAAACUCCUUUCGACCGCGAGGAAGCCACCUGGUUGGAAGGGUGGUGACGGUAGUGGUAGAAGAAGCACCGGCUAACUACGU